AUACGGAGGGUGCAAGCGUUAAUCGGAAUUACUGGGCGUAAAGAGUACGUAGGUGGUCUAUUAAGUCAGAUGUGAAAGCCCCGGGCUCAACCUGGGAACUGCAUUUGAAACUGAUAAACUAGAGUAUGGUAGAGGAGGGUAGAAUUUCUAGUGUAGCGGUGAAAUGCGUAGAUAUUAGAAGGAAUACCAGUGGCGAAGGCGGCCCUCUGGACCAAUACUGACACUGAGGUACGAAAGCGUGGGUAGCGAACAGGAUUAGAAACCCCAGUAGUCC
rnacentral:rRNA from 1 species